CUAGGUGUGAGUGACGAGGUUGAAGCUGACUGCAUGCAUUUGAAACAAGCAUUUUCGGGGUUAUCUCCGGAACUGCAAUUGCAUUUCUUGGGGUUAUCUCCAAGGUUAGCACUGUUAUUCCCGAUGUUGUUUCUGGGACUGGAACUGUAACGCCUCAAAAUCCUAUCUAUCUUCACACCCGAAUUCCGUACGUCACGAGUACAUCAUCCCUCCAACAUACAUCAUUAUAUACUGAAU
rnacentral:lncRNA from 1 species